rnacentral:miRNA from 1 species
AACAACAGUCGGUAGGCUGUC